rnacentral:rRNA from 1 species
GUGUCAGCAGCCGCGGUAAGACGGAAGGUGCAAGCGUUGCUCGGAAUCACUGGGCGUAAAGGGUGCGUAGGCGGCCGUGCAAGUCUGGCGUGAAAGCCCCGGGCUCAGCCCGGGAAGUGCGCUCGAAACUGCGCGGCUCGAGUGCCGGAGGGGAGAGUGGAAUUCCUGGUGUAGCGGUGAAAUGCGUAGAUAUCAGGAGGAAUACCGGUGGCGAAAGCGACUCUCUGGACGGCAACUGACGCUGAGGCACGAAAGCGUGGGGAGCAAACAGGAUUAGAUACCCCCGUAGUCC